rnacentral:tRNA from 1 species
AUCUAAGUAGUUUAAAAAAAAUAUAAAUUUGUGGUGUUUAAGAUGUAUAAGUUACCUUAGAUA